rnacentral:lncRNA from 1 species
GUUUCACACGACACACACGGACUCACCGGGGUGGGGGGCACGUGGCCUCACCUCGGCAGAGGCCGGCACGGGGCUGGACAGCAGGAAAGGCAGCAAGGAAUUCAAUCCUUCACAAGGCCUAGGAGAGAGAGCUCAGACAUCAAAGGACUCACCAGAGCAAAUAAAGCUUAUCUGUCCUAUGUCCCAGAGUCGUGGGGACAGUAUGUACGAGAAGGCUUUGAGACUGUUAAGUGCCCCUGUAAACUGUUGCUUUCCACCUGCCCUGCAUUCUAUCAGUGGAUGAAAAGAACAACACACAACUGCCAAGCCUGGGCAGCUUCUGCAGGUGAAGUGGACAUGUGGCCAUGGUGUUCUGGGAGGGUAGAGUGAUGUGAUCUGUAAUAUUCUGGGAGGAUGCUGGAGGAAGUGGCCUGGGGUUGCACCUGGAAUGGCAUCUGUGGUCUAAGGAAGGAACCCUGGACUUGGACUUGAAGCUGUAAAACCUAGCUUAGAAUCUUGACCUCCCUGCUCUCUGGCUGUAGGUGGGCAAGUUACUCAGCCUCGCUGAGCCAUGCUUUGCUCUUCUGUACCACGCAACCUGAAAUGUAAAUUAAACACGCACACACAGCCAACAUAAGCCCUGCCUGACACACAGUGGACGUUCAAAGGCUGCUGAAUCUGAAUCGCAUAUCCUCUCUGGAGCCCGAGUUUCCCAUGAGGGAUCCGAACACUCACUCCAGCUAGAGUGAAAACGGCUUAAUCCAGAUUUGACCAGCAAGCGUCAUUUGGAGUUUCAGUGUUGAGAAAUUGGUGGCACAGGUGGGUGACAUUUGUCAUGUAGUUGGAAGCCGGCUCCUGAUUCCCAUCCUUGCUUCCUGAGCCCCAUAUCGAUUGGAGCAGGUGCCUGGAAAAGACACAACAAAUCACACGUACUGGUGCCUCUUUUCUCAGCUUUUGUGUCAGAUGUACAGGAGACAAUCAGAGCAGUGCUGGAAGGGAAAAGAAGUCACUGGAAACCAUUCUGGAGAACCCUAAUGGGGAUGGAAGUUGGGAGAAAAUUUGGGGGUUCUGGAGAUUUUAUAACCUACGGGCCUUUAAAAAAAUC